rnacentral:misc_RNA from 1 species
UGGCUCUCGCAUCGAUGAAGAACGCAGCGAAAUGCGAUAAGUAAUGUGAAUUGCAGAAUUCAGUGAAUCAUCGAAUCUUUGAACGCACCUUGCGCUCCUUGGUAUUCCGAGGAGCAUGCCUGUUUGAGUGUCUUGAAGUCAUCAACCCCUCCCGUUUUCGUGACGGGGUGAGUUGGAGGUGGGGGAAGUGCUGCCGAAGGGCGGCUCCCCUCAAAUGCUUCGGUUGGGCCUGUGGGUCGAACUCGACUGGGCGUUGUACCAUCCUCGCUUGUUUCGAGAAGUUCCCCUAGACGUGCCUGGACCAUGACCGCUUCUGGAGUGGCGGCCAAACAAGAUUUCUUGAAAUCUGACCUCAAAUCAGGUAGGACUACCCGCUGA